rnacentral:lncRNA from 1 species
CUCCUCGUGGUGCUGUGCUCCCUAACUCACCGCUGCUCAGCUGCUGUUUCCAAAAACAGACUGUUUUUGAUGGAAAACACAGCUACAUUCAGAAUCAUGGCUUUCCUCCCCGCUGAACUGUCUUCUCCUUAACCAACCCCGGCCAGAAGGCUCUUUCCUAAUGGAAAUGCUGGAACCACUUACAGCAGUGAAGAUGCUAAGCUGCUGGGAGAGUGCAUCUCGGAAGACAGCUGAGGGAGCGAACGGACGCAGACAGGAUGGGAGACGAUGGCACUGAUUUGAGAGAGCACUAAGAUCGAACGUCACUGAGACAUAACUAUGAGUCCAUGAUCCUUUGGGGGCAGCAAAGAGUUAAUAAGAAUCGAUCGCCUUUGGAAUUUUGUAAAAAAUUAAAAAUUUUAAGUGAGCGC